rnacentral:rRNA from 1 species
GUGCCAGCAGCCGCGGUAAUACCGGCAGCCCAAGUGAUGGCCGGUAUUAUUGGGCCUAAAGCGUCCGUAGCUGGCCGCGCAAGUCCGUCGGGAAAUCCACCCGCCCAACGGGUGGGCGUCCGACGGAAACUGCACAGCUUGGGACCGGAAGGCUCGGGGGGUACGUUCGGGGUAGGAGUGAAAUCCUAUAAUCCCGCACGGACCACCGAUGGCGAAAGCACUUCGAGAAAACGGAUCCGACAGUGAGGGACGAAAGCCAGGGUCUCCAACCGGAUUAGAAACCCGAGUAGUCC